GAAGUUCCUUCGAUAGUUCGAUCCAAACAGGCAUAGGUUUCGUGUUCGGCCGCACAUGUCAGAACGAAGUGUUCUUCUUCCUUUUUCCAAGUCGGCAGUCCGCGGCCGGCGAUCUGAAUCCGCGGCACUCCAACCUCAAAGGCAACGGCGGAAUGGGGGAUGCUCGACCGGGGCUGGUGCCUAUUUUAAUCCUGCCAAAUUUUACUCUGUGUGCCCCCUGCUGGUGCCUAUAAACACGCCCACGCAUCUUGCCUGCUUGCCCUUUUCUCCACACACCACCACAUGUCGACCUCACCUGAUCUAGGGUUUAGCGGAGUGACCACGCGGCGGAGCGAGCGCGCGGAUCCGUUCCAGAUAUGCAUUUGGGGGGCAGCAAGCUCGAGGCGGCAAAUGCAUAACUUGCAAGAAUUUGUUGGUUGCGGGUCAUACCGAUGAUGCUCUUGCAAGUUAUGCAGUUGCUGCCUCAAGCUUCCUGCCUCCCUUUGCCAGAGCUAGUAAGAUAAAAAGUUUUCAAUCAGCACAGACAAGAGCAAUGUUUUUAAAUCGCCUAA